rnacentral:lncRNA from 1 species
CAGGCUCCAGGCUCUGAGCUGUCAGCACAGGGCCUGACGUGGGGCUCGAACUCACAAACUGUGAGAUCAUGACCUGAGCCGAAGUCCAAGUCAGACGCUCAACCGACUGAGCCACCAGGCGCCCCUCUCUUUAUUUUUCAAGGGGUUGUUGACCUCCUCCCUGUCUCAAGUUCACUUCUGGGUCCGACAGACACAGGUGGGCCUCAAGGAGCUCCAGGCUCACAGGUACUGAGUGUCACCCAAAGGGAAAAACUAGGGGAAGGAUCUG